AUUGAACGCUGGCGGCAGGCCUAACACAUGCAAGUCGAACGAGUGGCGGACGGGUGAGUAAUGUCUGGGAAACUGCCCGAUGGAGGGGGAUAACUACUGGAAACGGUAGCUAAUACCGCAUACCAUCGGAUGUGCCCAGAUGGGAUUAGCUAGUGGGGGGGGGAACGGCUCACCUAGGCGACGAUCCCUAGCUGGUCGGAGAGGAUGACCAGCCACACUGGAACUGUGACACGGUCCAGAUGCCUACGGGAGGCAGCAGUGGGGAAUAUUGCACAAUGGGCGCAAGCCGGAUGAAGCCAUGCGGCGUGUAUGAAGAAGGCCUUCGGGUUGUAAAGUACGUUAAGCGAGGAGGCGUUACUCGCAGAAGAAGCACCGGCUAACUCCGUGCCAGCAGCCGCGGUAAUUC
rnacentral:rRNA from 1 species